CGAGCGGCCGGCAGCGGCUGCACCCGCCUCCCGCUUCCCCGCCGGCGGCCGGGCCGCAGCCCGCUCCUCCCGGCGGUUCCGCCGCGCUCGUUUCCUUCCCGAGGCGGGCGCUAGCAGCGCCCUCGCCCGCUGAGGACACCCGGGAGGUUGCGCCGCUGCCCACGUUGACUGGCGGCCGUUGGCGCACCGCAGGGGGCACCGAGACCGGAGCUGGCCGGCCGGGAGCUGCCGGAACGGACGCUGCGUUCCCACGCCCUCUCUCCGGCGGGGUCGGCAGAGAAGGGGCUGAGGAGGGAACCUGCGCGCACGGCGUCCCCCGCAUUGUGUGAAGCCUGCAUGGGUACGGCGCGGGGGCGCGGCUGUGGUGCUCCGCCGAGCCUCCCUCCCUCCCUCCCCGGCAUCGCCCGUGGCUGGGAGGCGCCGAGCUGAGCCGUGAGGGAUGCUUUUGUGCGCGGCUGCGAGGGGAGCAGCGGGUAACGGCGGAGCGAGCGGUAGCCCAGGCUGCGGUUGCGAGAGGAGGUCGGGCGCCGCGGUUACCCGCAGCCCUCCCGGCGAGGGAGGCCGGGCGCGAUGCUGAAUUAGGCGACCGGAGCCCUUGCAAGCGCGUGGGACUGGCUUAGUAGCCUGUAGCCGGCCCGGGAGGGCGAGCAGGCGGCUCCCCAUGGCGAGCAACCGGAGCAUCGAACUGGAGCACUUCGAGGAGCGGGACAAGAGGCAGCAGCGCGCUGGGCCGCGCCGCGGCGGUUCCGGCUCCGGCGGCGGAGCGGGGCCGCGGGGCAACGGGCUGAUCCCCAGCCCGGCGCACAGCGCUCACUGCAGUCUGUACCGGACGCGGACCCUGCAGGCGCUCAGCUCGGAGAAGAAAGCCCGGAAAGCUCGCUUCUACCGCAAUGGGGACAGGUAUUUCAAGGGCUUGGUGUAUGCCAUCUCUACUGACCGCUUCCGCUCCUUCGAUGCCCUGCUCGUUGAACUCACCCGGUCCCUGUCGGACAACGUGAACCUGCCCCAGGGUGUCCGCACCAUCUACACCAUUGAUGGCAGCAAGAAGCUCACCAGCCUGGACGAGCUGGUGGAAGGUGAAAGUUAUGUAUGUGCAUCCAAUGAACCAUAUCGCAAAGUUGAUUACACCAAGAAUGUCAAUCCAAACUGGUGUGUGAACAUAAGGACUGGGUCCACUCGAUCCUUGACAUCUUUGACAUCCACAAAGAGUGAAGUGAAGGAGAGUAAAGAUUUCAUUAAACCCAAAUUAGUGACUGUUAUUAGGAGUGGAGUAAAACCACGGAAAGCUGUGAGAAUUCUGCUGAAUAAGAAGACUGCUCACUCCUUUGAACAGGUCUUGACUGACAUCACAGAAGCCAUUAAAUUAGAUUCGGGUGUAGUCAAGAGACUUUGUACACUGGAUGGAAAGCAGGUGACAUGCUUGCAGGACUUCUUUGGAGAUGAUGACGUCUUCAUUGCGUGUGGGCCUGAGAAAUACCGGUAUGCUCAGGACGACUUCGUGUUGGAUCACAGCGAAUGCCGUGUUAUGAAGUCCUCUUAUUCCCGAUCAUCUGGCUUGAGGCAUUCUGGGUCCAAAAGUCCAGGAACUUCACGUCGAAGCAAAUCACCUGCCUCAGUUAAUGGAACCCCAAGCAGUCAAUUGUCCACCCCAAAGUCAACAAAGUCCUCAAGUUCUUCACCAACAAGCCCAGGCAGCUUUCGUGGACUGAAGAUGCCUCCACAUGGUGGACCUUCUUCCAAUGUGAAUGGUGUACCUGAAUCACUUCAUUGCCAGAGCCCUGAAGGUGUGAAUGGAAACAAGUGCUCAGUGUCAUCUCCCAUUCUUGAGAAGUACAAAGUGGGGAAGGUGAUUGGUGAUGGCAAUUUUGCUGUUGUAAAGGAGUGCAUAGAGCGAUCCACAGGAAAGGAGUUUGCACUGAAGAUCAUAGACAAGGCUAAAUGCUGUGGAAAGGAACACCUGAUUGAAAAUGAAGUGUCUAUUCUGCGUCGAGUGAAGCAUCCAAAUAUCAUUAUGCUUAUAGAGGAAAUGGACACCCCAACAGAACUCUACCUGGUGAUGGAACUGGUCAAGGGAGGAGAUCUAUUUGAUGCUAUCACUUCCUCUACAAAAUAUACAGAGCGAGAUGGGAGUGCAAUGGUCUACAAUCUGGCCAGCGCACUCAAAUACCUCCAUGGUCUCAACAUUGUACACAGAGACAUCAAGCCAGAAAAUCUCCUGGUAUGUGAGUAUCCCGAUGGAACCAAGUCUUUGAAGCUAGGAGACUUUGGGCUGGCAACUGUGGUCGAAGGACCUUUAUAUACUGUCUGUGGUACACCCACGUAUGUGGCUCCAGAAAUCAUUGCAGAGACAGGUUAUGGCUUAAAGGUGGAUAUUUGGGCUGCAGGUGUGAUCACAUACAUACUGUUAUGUGGAUUUCCACCUUUUCGCAGUGAAAACAACCUUCAGGAAGACCUCUUUGAUCAGAUACUUGUUGGGAAGCUGGAAUUUCCUUCUCCCUACUGGGAUAACAUCACUGAUUCAGCAAAGGAGUUAAUUAGCCUGAUGCUACAUGUGAAUGCUGAAGCCCGAUAUACAGCAGCACAGAUCCUAAGCCAUCCCUGGGUGUCAGAUGAUGCUUCCCAGGAGAAUAAUAUGCAAGCUGAAGUAACAGGUAAACUGAAGCAGCACUUUAAUAACACUCUGCCCAAGCAAAAUAACACAUCUGCUGGGGUUUCUGUCAUCAUGUUUGACUUGACAGUUUGAGAGGGACUUCAGAGCUUCAUUCUUUAUUCUGUUGAGACUAUGGAUAAGCCUGAAGCUGAAAACUGAACACAGCUCUAGAUAAAGAGAGUCAGAUUUUCUGCAGCAAGCGCAGUCAGGACUCCGGUAGAGCUGGAAUGGAGAAAAUUUCUGCAAUUACUGCUGCAGCUGACGAUCCUCAUGUGGCUGGGUCCAAGACCCUCUUCCCUGCUGCUUCUGAGCCACUCCAAUCCCCCACGCUCCCCGCCUCAGUGUCUCCUGAGUUUUCUGGGGAUCAGCCUGGUGCGUACGACUGAUGGAACCAAACGCGACUGAAGCUCCCUGCACUCUCGCCACAGUUUUCAUUUCACGUGACAGUUUGCUUUCAGUUGGCAUGCACCCUCUCGUGGCGAGCCCGAGGCGGGCUCUGUCGUGGGAGACUGAUUUUGUAAUAGUGGCCAAGCAAAGGUGUGUUUUGAGUGCUCUUUGCCCUUGAGAAUAGCAGUAGAGGAAAGAUUCUGGCAGUUCUGGUUAUCUGUGUUAGUUUAAUUCACUGCAUCUCACACAGCCUUGAGCUCUAAAUAGACUAACUUAUCGUGUAGCUAACCAUAUUUUUAUAUACGAAGUGAGAGGUGAACAGUUACCUGGCCUCACCUCUACAAGCAGGCCCCUUUCUGUUCUGCUUGUGAGAAUUCUCAGAAAAGCGGGAGAGGAAGACAAGGGAAACAAACUUACAUUCACCUGUUCUGACGCCUCUGUUUUUAGCCAAGUUUCUACUAAACUAGAAGAAGCAAAUUUUCACAAAAAAAAUUUUUAGUGGACUAACUGUAAAAUAUCGUGAAACAAACACUGGAGAUAGAGGGAAGGAUGGUCUUUUUUUUUGCGUCGGGUUUGUUAUUGGACUUGCAGGCUGCAGGGUAGUGCUUAGAUAAUAUGAAUUUAAAUAAAAUUAAUUGGGAUGUAAACAUGAGCACUGGACAUUUAUGUGUAAUGAAGAUCAGAGGCAAGGAAGUAUUUUGGUCAAGCCAUUUUCUAUCCUAACCACAAGUAUCCCAUCCAUACCUUUCUUGAGGGUCAGACUACCUAUUAGAUAAAAUGACUUUGGACCUGUGAACGAAAGCCUGUUGCAUGUUCUCUAAGCUGGGAUGGAUGGAGCAGUUCCUAGUUCUAGGGUGAGCUGAUAGAGGAGCUACUACGAAUAACCACCAUCAAUAGCUGUCAAGAGGUUUGUCAGUGCUAUUCCCCCCUCUACACCUGGUGCAGGCACUGGAAACAGGGACUGGGGAGAAGUUAUCCUUAAUCUGUAGUCACAGAUAGAUGAGGUUUUACAUUUACCAUAAUGCUUAGUUCAAUAUAGGAUGUAUUCAGCUUAUUCUUUUCCUUUGCUUGUUCUUACGAAUUGGUCAUAGUUCAUUUUUUUCUUAGCUAUACUUUCUACUAGAAUUGUAAACGAAAGACCUGCAAUAAACUUUCUUCAUUUAAAACAAGAAAAA